CGGUUAUUCAGUUUGUGAUUCUGGGGCCUGGUUUUCGAAAGUAUCUUAUGACUAAGACAUGUCUUAUGAUGGCCUUAGGACAUGUCAUAGUCGUAAGAUAUGUUUUCGUAAGUGUCCCAAGUUACGAUUUGUCAUAACUUUUGUCGUAUGCAGUUUGACUAAACAGUGUAGUGUAUAUUAUUAAACUGCAUAUCAGGUUAUUUUAUGUAAACAGACGACUGUUUUUUAACCAUACGAAAG
rnacentral:lncRNA from 1 species